rnacentral:snoRNA from 1 species
UAUUAUGAUGACCAAUAUUUAAAAUUACAAACUAGAGUUUCUGAAAAAUCUUGUGAUUAGAAACUAAAUAUAUUUGAGCUGAAU